rnacentral:tRNA from 1 species
GUCGGGGUAGCCUAGUUUGGCCCACGGCGCUGGUUUGCUAAACCAGUGGGCUACACGCCCUCGCGGGUUCAAAUCCCGCCCCCGGCGC